rnacentral:rRNA from 1 species
GACGAACGCUGGCGGCGUGCUUAACACAUGCAAGUCGAACGGUAAGGCUCCAGCUUGCUGGGGUACACGAGUGGCGAACGGGUUAGUAACACGUGGGUGACCUGCCCUGCACUUCGGGAUAAGCCUGGGAAACUGGGUCUAAUACCGGAUAGGACCAUGGUGUGGAUACUGUGGUGGAAAGUUUUUUCGGUGUGGGAUGGGCCCGCGGCCUAUCAGCUUGUUGGUGGGGUAAUGGCCUACCAAGGCGGCGACGGGUAGCCGGCCUGAGAGGGUGGACGGCCACAUUGGGACUGAGACACGGCCCAGACUCCUACGGGAGGCAGCAGUGGGGAAUAUUGCACAAUGGGCGGAAGCCUGAUGCAGCGACGCCGCGUGGGGGAUGACGGCCUUCGGGUUGUAAACUCCUUUCACCAUCGACGAAGGGUUUCUGACGGUAGAUGGAGAAGAAGCACCGGCUAACUACGUG